GCUUACAGCCAUACCAGCCCAAGAACGCCCGGUCUCGUCUGAUCUCGGAAGCUAAGAAGGCUUGGCCUGGUUAGUACUUGGAUGGGAGACCUCCUGGAAUACCAGUUGCUGUAAGCU
ensembl:rRNA 5S_rRNA 5S ribosomal RNA